rnacentral:misc_RNA from 1 species
GUGGGAGGGGGCUUGCCCCCGAUGGCGGUGGAUCAGUCAGCUACUCCAAAUACUGACACUCAGCUAUCGGGGGCAAGCCCCCUCCCAU